UACAGAGGGUGCGAGCGUUAAUCGGAAUUACUGGGCGUAAAGGGCGCGUAGGCGGCCCGAUAAGUCGGAUGUGAAAGCCCCGGGCUCAACCUGGGAACUGCAUACGAUACUGUCAGGCUAGAGUAUGGUAGAGGUAAGCGGAAUUCCGGGUGUAGCGGUGAAAUGCGUAGAUAUCCGGAGGAACAUCAGUGGCGAAGGCGGCUUACUGGACCAAUACUGACGCUGAGGCGCGAAAGCGUGGGGAGCAAACAGGAUUAGAUACCCUGGUAGUCCACGCCCUAAACGAUGAGAACUAGCCGUUGGGAGCAUUUAAGCUCUUAGUGGCGCAGCUAACGCGUUAAGUUCUCCGCCUGG
rnacentral:rRNA from 1 species